rnacentral:rRNA from 1 species
AUGGACGCCCAGAACAAGGAGGUGGACGCCCUGGUCCAGAAGAUCACCGGCCUCCACGCCGCCAUCGCCAAGCUGCCCUCGCUCAGCCCGUGCCCCGCCGUCGACGCGCUCUUCACCGACCUCGUCACCGCGUGCGUCCCCCCGAGCCCCGUGGACGUGACCGAGCUCGGCCCGGAGGCGCAGGCGAUGCGCGAGGGCCUCAUCCGCCUCUGCUCCGAGGCCGAGGGGAAGCUGGAGGCGCACUACUCCGACAUGCUCGCCGCCUUCGACAACCCGCUCGACCACCUCGGCGUCUUCCCUUACUACAGCAACUACAUCAACCUCAGCAAGCUGGAGUACGAGCUCCUGUCGCGCUACGUGCCCGGCGGCAUCGCCCCGGCCCGUGUCGCCUUCAUCGGCUCCGGCCCGCUGCCGUUCAGCUCCUACGUCCUCGCCGCGCGCCACCUGCCCGACACGGUGUUCGACAACUACGACCUGUGCGGCGCGGCCAACGCCCGCGCGAGCAGGCUGUUCCGCGCGGACAGGGACGUGGGCGCCCGCAUGUCGUUCCACACCGCCGACGUCGCGGACCUCACCGACGUGCUCGCUACGUAUGAUGUCGUCUUCCUGGCCGCGCUCGUGGGCAUGGCGGCCGAGGACAAGGCCAAGGUGAUCGCGCACCUUGGCGCGCACAUGGCGGACGGGGCGGCCCUCGUCGUGCGCAGCGCGCACGGGGCGCGUGGGUUCCUGUACCCGAUCGUCGAUCCCCAGGACAUCGGCCGAGGCGGGUUCGAGGUGCUCGCCGUGUGUCACCCAGACGACGACGUGGUGAACUCCGUCAUCAUCGCGCAAAAGACCAACGACGUGCAUGAGUAUGGACUUGGCAACGGGCGUGGUGGACGGUACGCGCGGGGCACGGUGCCGGUGGUCAGCCCGCCCUGCAGGUUCGGCGAGAUGGUGGCGGACGUGACCCAGAAGAGAGAGGAGUUUGCCAACGCGGAACUGGCCUUCUGA